rnacentral:lncRNA from 1 species
GCGCUAGGGGUGUAAAUGAGCCGAGUCGAGUCGAGUAUUGCCAUGCUCAGACUCGAGCUCGACUAUUUUGAUGAAGCUCGAGCUCGAGCUCGACUCGGCCGAGCUUGAUUUUUUUGAGCUCGAGCUCGACUCGAUGUCAUAUUUGUGAGCUCGAGCUCGACUCGGUUAAGCUCGAUUGUGGAGUCUUGCUCGAGUUUGAGCUCGAGCUCGAGCUCAUUUAAGCUCGUUGAGCUCGAGCUCGUUCAAACUCGGUGAACUCGAGCUCGUUUGGGCCAUUUUGUGGGUUUUAAAUAUAUUUAAUUUUGGGCUAAUAUAUAAUAUAUUAUAUACUAAUUACUUGAGCUCGAUUAGGCUCGCGAGCCUAACGAGUCGAGUAUCACGAAACUCGAACUCGGGCUCGGUACCAACUCGAGUAGCUCGAGCUCGAGCUCAACUCGACUAACAUCGAGUCGAUUUCGAGUAAUCUUCGAGCCGAUCCCGAGUAGCUCGCGAGCUAGCUCGACUCACUUACACCCCUA